rnacentral:misc_RNA from 1 species
GAUGAAGAACGUAGCGAAAUGCGAUAAGUAAUGUGAAUUGCAGAAUUCAGUGAAUCAUCGAAUCUUUGAACGCACCUUGCACCCUUUGGUAUUCCGAAGGGCAUGCUCGUUUGAGUGUCAUUGUACUCUCACACUUCUAAUUCCUUUCGGGAUUGGGAGCGGUGGACUUGGGUGUUGCUGCUUUAGUUGUGGCUCACCUCAAAUAAGUUAGUGCAACUCUUGGUUGGACAUAGUACGGCGUGAUAAGUGUCUUCGCCGGCGCCUCUGUAAGGAGUGUGGCCGAUCGGGAGCUCUGUGCUUCAAACCGUCUUCGGACAAUCUUUGACAACUUGACCUCAAAUCGAGUAGGACUACCCGCUGAACUUAAGCAUAUCAAUAAGCGGAGGA